CUGAAAUCAGAGAGGGUAAACCACUACAAAUCAUCCUCUGAUUGUGGUCCCUCGAGUUUCCCAUAUCACGGGAAAAAGAUAAGAUAAUCUAAGGCUUCUGAAGGGGCUGUAGCCAUGUAUUCAGCAUUCAUUUAAUGAGAAUAUAAUUCCAGUGGCUCUGGUAUCUGCCUUAAAAUGAGUUUACAGUUUUGGAGAUGGUGCAGAACAUGUCUGAGGCAUAUAUAAAACAAGAAGAGGCUAGGGCAGAAUGUCUUAAUUCCAGGGAGCAUGAGGCUACUGACCUUGCAGCAUGAACAGAGCUGAUGAGUGAAGGCAGUGAGAUCACCAAGACUGUCACUUCGGAAGGGGCCCAGAGCCCAGCUGUGCUGCAUGUCGAUACAAAACUCGUGUACAGAUAUUCAGCCAGCAUGCACCAACUGUGGGCGAAAGAAAUUACUUUCACUGUGUUUCUGACCCACCUGCUCUCUGUGGCUUUGUCCGCAGGAGGAGGAAGAAAGUGGUUUCUGGUCCCUGGCACUGUUUACUGCUGGGGGAAUUAUGGUGAAGCCCUCAGUAGAGAAGUAGCUGGUUUAGUAGGAGACCAAAGCUGCACUGCUUUCGACUUUGCUGCCACAGGACAUCAGGUACUGGACAACUAGUCUAAGGACAACUGUCCGUGGUGCUGGAAACAGUUCUGCAUAGAAUCUUUGAAGAAUCCUUGAGGGUUUUAUGAUGGGAGCACUGACAUUACUAAGAAGCUCACAAUUAGAAAACUGGAGCAAUGGACCCAAGACAUACGGCCUUUUCUCUCUCCUCACUGCUUUAUUCUCCUUCUUCUCUCUCAUUUCCCCUCCCCCUCUAUCCAGACCUCUCUGCAUAAGUGUGAUUUCAAUAGCUCCCCAUGGUAUUUCCUCUCUUCCCUUUGGUGGUCACACUUUCCUAAGAGUUAUACACAUUUCAAAUCAGGGCCAGUGCAUGGUAUUGUGGGCCAUCCUCUAUUUCAGAGCCAGACAGACGUGGCAGCUGGACUGUGAAAUGUCACUUUGAUGAGAGCGUGGUUGGACCACAUCAUCCGGAAAGCAUAACAUGACUGUAGGCAUGAGCCCAGCUCAGGUCUAGUGAGGGCAUAUUCUCCUUCUGGGAAUCAUUACAACAGCUCAAAUCUCAAAAAAAUCAAAUAAAAUAUGAUUUCCCACCUGGUGGAUAAUAAUAAACAGUGAUUGCCCACCUGUUGCUCAUGGGCUCUGCAACUAUUAGGUGUCUGCCUUACCUCCUGGUACCAGAUGAUUUUCCAACAAUUUGAAACUUCCUCUGCAUUUUCCUCUGCAAAAAUAAUGUCAGUAAGGUUUCAGGAUGUGCAAAGAUAUAAUAUUAUAGCCAAAGGAAAGAUUGCGACUCAAGACAGGCAUGAAAUGGCAAUCGUGACAGUGAUGUCUUGAAGAGAU
rnacentral:lncRNA from 1 species